GGGGCCCCGGCGAAGGGAGCAUUCAGGUGCUGGAGCCAUAAAUGAGCGAUUUGGACGCCACAUAAGCACUGAGUUUUCUAAAUAACACACAGACUUUGGACCACAGCCAAAAUGCCCGGAACAAAAGGUAACAAAUCUGACAAGAAAUCAGCUACCAAGCAACCUCAGAGUCCUAAGGAGCAACCGAAGAAAGCUGAUCAGAAAGGAGAUGAUAACAAAAAGCAAGGAGGACAGCCGAAGGGAGAGAAGCAAUAAUUUCCAGGCAUUUGUGAAGAUGGCUCUGGAGACUCUGCUGGGAUCCUGCCGUCGCAAACAUGGGGGUCCUUGGGGCAGGCAAGGCUGAAAAGCAGCCUCCCAUCCUCUCCCCAUCUCCCUUGGAACUGCAUACAGGCCCCGUCUUGAUACACAACUGUGCCCACUUGCUCUCAGAAGGGCAGAAAGUGACCCAGCUUUCCAUCCAUCAGUGACCCACUGUGUGUGACCUUUCUUCCCACCCUGUUUCCCCUCGCUCAUUGUUUGCUCUGGAUUGUAGAACUCUUAGAAAUGGACGGACACAAGGUCAAACCCAGCCAAUGUUUCCAGAGCGUCCCCAGAAACUGAAACCUUGACCACUCCCAAUCUUUCCCUCUUCCCAACCAAAAUUCCUUAUUUUGAUCAAAUGUCCAAACCAUUCUUGUAAAUAAGCAAAUAAAUCAUUUUUUCCUAAAACAGUU